rnacentral:piRNA from 1 species
UGUCUUUCCUGCUCUUUCUGUUGGUC